ensembl:lncRNA
GUUGUGCAGAGACAACGGGCUGCCUCGCUAAACGAUGCACACCUGUAACUCACGUGACCCUGGUUAUUAUUGAAACGAGAACGAGGGCGUCGUGCCUUUAUAAGACUGCGUUAAUGGUUCCGUGGAGUCAUCCCUUCCGUUGUUGUUUAUUGAUUGUUAAACAUGGCUUCAUUUGCAAAGGUGGUUGUGUGUGUCCUCAUUGCUUGUGUCUGUAAUGCAUUCGGUUUUCCGAAGAGAGAUGUGAACUUUAAGGCCUCUGCAGUUGACCGCCAAAGUGAUGAUGUGGUUGUCACCACAACACCCGUUCCCCACAACCAGACCACCUCUGCCCCUACUGAAGCUGGUGGUGGAGCAAGUGAAGAUGCUGUGGCUACUACCCCAGCACCUAAUCCACACAACCAGACAACUUCUGCACAAACGGAAGUUACUGAUGAAGCCAGUGAAGAUGCUGUGGACCGCCAAAGUGAUGUGGUUUCCACCACAACACCCAAUCCCCACAACCAGACCACAUCUGCCCCUACUGAAGCUGAUGGAGCAAGUGAAGAUGAUUCAGAUGAUGAUGAUGCUGCAAGUGAAGAUGAUGAUUCUGCAAAUGAAGAUGAUGAUGCUGCAAGUGAAGAUGCUGUGGCUACCACCCCAACACCAAAUCCCCCAACUACAUCUCACCACACUGCAGCUACCGAUGAUGCAAGUGAGGGUGCUGUGGCUGCCUAAACUGGAACUACUGUAUCCCAUACGACUGAAGUCUGAUUCGACUGCUCCUCUGGUCACAAUAACCUGUCUGGACUUUUUGCCUCUACAUGUUGACUGCAAUAAAGGACAGAUUUUGUAUUUUUUUUAAUCAAAUGUUGUCUUGCCUUUUUCAAAUUGAGGCCUUGUCCUGUUUUGGUAGUGGAGAUGACUAUGAAGCCUCUUUUCUAACGUAUUUCCUG